rnacentral:lncRNA from 1 species
GGGUCAUCAGCCUUCGUUAUGUCAUCGUUGCAUGUCACUGUAUUGUUCCAGAGUUGGCAGCUCCUCCGCAGAAAUGACCCCAUUCGGAGGUGUUUGGGGAAGGCUGAGCAAAAGACGUACACAGCGCUGUCCCAGCAAAAUGAGGAGCGAGGUCCUGACUACCUUCCGCGAGCACCUGCUUUGUCCUCAAGCCCUGCACAUCCUCGUGGGUGUGGCCCAGGCACAGCCGCAUCAGAGCUGCCCACCUCGGCAGGAUCCCAGUGACUCACGGGCUUGUAGGAGUCCGAGUGUGCCCAGCUGUCACAGAGCAACCGCUCCAGGAUGA